rnacentral:piRNA from 1 species
UGAGCACUAGCAUGUCUGAUCAGUAUGAAUU